rnacentral:rRNA from 1 species
AGUGAACGCUGGCGGUAGGCCUAACACAUGCGAGUCGAACGGCAGCACAGUAAGAGCUUGCUCUUACGGGUGGCGAGUGGCGGACGGGUGGGGAAUACAUCGGAAUCUACUUUUUCGUGGGGGAUAACGUAGGGAAACUUACGCUAAUACCGCAUACGACCUACGGGUGAAAGCAGGGGAUCUUCGGACCUUGCGCGAUUGAAUGAGCCGAUGUCGGAUUAGCUAGUUGGCGGGGUAAAGGCCCACCAAGGCGACGAUCCGUAGCUGGUCUGAGAGGAUGAUCAGCCACACUGGAACUGAGACACGGUCCAGACUCCUACGGGAGGCAGCAGUGGGGAAUAUUGGACAAUGGGCGCAAGCCUGAUCCAGCCAUACCGCGUGGGUGAAGAAGGCCUUCGGGUUGUAAAGCCCUUUUGUUGGGAAAGAAAAGCAGCAGGUUAAUACCCCGCUGUUCUGACGGUACCCAAAGAAUAAGCACCGGCUAACUUCGUG